CGGGCUCAACCUGGGAACUGCAUCUGAUACUGGCAAGCUUGAGUCUCGUAGAGGGGGGUAGAAUUCCAGGUGUAGCGGUGAAAUGCGUAGAGAUCUGGAGGAAUACCGGUGGCGAAGGCGGCCCCCUGGACGAAGACUGACGCUCAGGUGCGAAAGCGUGGGGAGCAAACAGGAUUAGAUACCCUGGUAGUCCACGCCGUAAACGAUGUCGACUUGGAGGUUGUGCCCUUGAGGCGUGGCUUCCGGAGCUAACGCGUUAAGUCGACCGCCUGGGGAGUACGGCCGCAAGGUUAAAACUCAAAUGAAUUGACGGGGGCCCGCACAAGCGGUGGAGCAUGUGGUUUAAUUCGAUGCAACGCGAAGAACCUUACCUGGUCUUGACAUCCACGGAAGUUUUCAGAGAUGAGAAUGUGCCUUCGGGAACCGUGAGACAGGUGCUGCAUGGCUGUCGUCAGCUCGUGUUGUGAAAUGUUGGGUUAAGUCCCGCAACGAGCGCAACCCUUAUCCUUUGUUGCCAGCGGUCCGGCCGGGAACUCAAAGGAGACUGCCAGUGAUAAACUGGAGGAAGGUGGGGAUGACGUCAAGUCAUCAUGGCCCUUACGACCAGGGCUACACACGUGCUACAAUGGCGCAUACAAAGAGAAGCGACCUCGCGAGAGCAAGCGGACCUCAUAAAGUGCGUCGUAGUCCGGAUUGGAGUCUGCAACUCGACUCCAUGAAGUCGGAAUCGCUAGUAAUCGUGGAUCAGAAUGCCACGGUGAAUACGUUCCCGGGCCUUGUACACACCGCCCGUCACACCAUGGGAGUGGGUUGCAAAAGAAGUAGGUAGCUUAACCUUCGGGAGGGCGCUUACCACUUUGUGAUUCAUGACUGGGGUGAAGUCGUAACAAGGUAACCGUAGGGGAACCUGCGGUUGGAUCACCUCCUUACCUUAAAGAAGC
rnacentral:rRNA from 1 species